rnacentral:rRNA from 1 species
CUGUAGCAAUACAGAGGAAGACCUAGUGGCGAACGGGUGAGGAACACGUGAGGAACCUGCCCCUCGGUCGGGGACAACUCUUGGAAACGAGAGCUAAUACCCGAUACGCUGUGGAGUGAAAGAAUUUCGCCGAGGGAUGAUCUUGCGUCUGAUUAGCUAGUUGGUGUGGUAACUGCACACCAAGGCGACGAUCAGUAGCUGGUCUGAGAGGAUGGACAGCCACAUUGGAACUGAGACACGGUCCAAACUCC